rnacentral:lncRNA from 11 species
GAGAGAGAGAGAGAGAUGCUCCUGCCGCGCGCCCACCCGGCCUCCCCCACCCACAUGGCUUUGAACUCAGUCGGCGCGAGCCGCAGAAAGAGUCCCGGGAAGGAUAAAGAUAUUACGGAACAGGGAAAGUGUGGGAAGGUGGCAUGACGAGAGAUUGCAGAAGUAUAAUCACCAGACCACGGAUUGGAAAAACGGCACAAAUGUGUGAAUUAAGAGAUGUGUGAUAUAGAAG